rnacentral:rRNA from 1 species
UACAGAGGUCUCAAGCGUUGUUCGGAUUCAUUGGGCGUAAAGGGUGUGUAGGUGGCGCGCUAAGUCGGGUGUGAAAUUUCGGAGCUUAACUCCGAAACUGCAUUCGAUACUGCCGUGCUUGAGGACUGGAGAGGAGACUGGAAUUUACGGUGUAGCAGUGAAAUGCGUAGAUAUCGUAAGGAAGACCAGUGGCGAAGGCGGGUCUCUGGACAGUUCCUGACGCUGAGACACGAAGGCCAGGGGAGCAAACGGG